UACGUAGGGGGCAAGCGUUGUCCGGAUUUAUUGGGCGUAAAGAGCUCGUAGGCGGUUUGGCAAGUCGGGUGUGAAAACUCCGGGCUCAACUCGGAGACGCCACUCGAUACUGCUAUGACUCGAGUCCGGUAGGGGAGUGCGGAAUUCCUGGUGUAGCGGUGAAAUGCGCAGAUAUCAGGAGGAACACCGGUGGCGAAGGCGGCACUCUGGGCCGGAACUGACGCUGAGGAGCGAAAGCGUGGGGAGCGAACAGG
rnacentral:rRNA from 1 species